GUAACAAUCUGAGAACAACAACAAAAAAGGGACACUUUAAAAUUUUAACAGCUGAAGACAAGUUUGUUAUAGAAGGUUUAUAGUAAAUGAGAUGGAGGAAAAAUAUUUAAAAAGCUGUUUUACCAGUCCCUGGGAGAAAAUUCCUUUCUGGGAUGCGUAUACACCGAGGCUGCAUGAAUCAAUACUUAAACCAUUUUUCACACCCAUAAUAUUCUGCACUGAGAUGGAACCAAGCUCAGAUGGAAGAGAAAUGAACCCACCUGAGUCACUGUUAUCUGUCCAGUACCUGGAUUUCAAGGCUCCAUUUUCCAUCUUGAGGUAUCUUCUCCAAUCAUGAUAAAUCUGGCUCCCGUUAUCCUCAAAAUAUUUACUACGUGCACAAGCAUAGAAUACAAAGAAAGCAAACAAUUGUUAACACUUAGUAUUGAAAAAAGGGA
rnacentral:lncRNA from 1 species